GCGAUCAUACCAGCACUUAUGCAUUGGUUUCCAUUAGAACUUCCCAGUUAAGUGUGCUUGAAUGAGAGUAGUACUAGGAUGGGUGCCUUGAGAGGUUCUCGUGUUAUACCCC